ACUCCUACGGGAGGCAGCAGUGGGGAAUAUUGCGCAAUGGGCGGAAGCCUGACGCAGCGACGCCGCGUGGGGGAUGACGGCCUUCGGGUUGUAAACCUCUUUCGACCGGGACGAAGCCGUGGUGACGGUACCGGUAGAAGAAGCACCGGCCAACUACGUGCCAGCAGCCGCGGUAACACGUAGGGUGCGAGCGUUGUCCGGAAUUAUUGGGCGUAAAGAGCUCGUAGGCGGUGUGUCGCGUCGGCCGUGAAAACCUGGGGCUUAACUCUGGGCGUGCGGUCGAUACGGGCAUCACUGGAGUUCGGCAGGGGAGACUGGAAUUCCUGGUGUAGCGGUGAAAUGCGCAGAUAUCAGGAGGAACACCGGUGGCGAAGGCGGGUCUCUGGGCCGAUACUGACGCUGAGGGACGAAAGCGUGGGGAGCGAACAGGAUUAGAUACCCUGUAGGCUCUG
rnacentral:rRNA from 1 species